rnacentral:rRNA from 1 species
UGCUUGGCGACCAUAGCGAAAUGGAACCACCUGAUCCCUUCUCGAACUCAGAAGUGAAACGUUUCAGCGCCAAUGGUAGUGUGGGGUCUCCCCAUGCGAGAGUAGGUCAUCGCCAAGCU